rnacentral:lncRNA from 1 species
UGCGGAUUUUGCAAUACAGAAAAAGGAAAACUAGGCAAAACGAAGAGCUGGGCUAGUAGACUCGUAUUUAGACGACGUUAGUGGCUUUUAAAGCCCAUAAUCAUAAUCCACGGCCCAGCAGGCUUGCUCCCGACGGGCUUUUCAGGCCGGCAAGUGCAGCCCACAUACUGAUCCCCCAUCGUACUGUCGUACAAACGAACGGACACUCUCGAGUCUCGACCCGCCGUCGUCUGCAUCGCUCUCGUCUGUCGUCGUCUCCAACAGAAUCGUCAGUCACCUUCAUCCGCGCCACAAAGUCCGCAGCCCCCAUCUGUUUAUCACCAAGCGCUCCUACCAAGACGGUAAGGAUUCCAAGAUGCCCACCCACCGCCAAAAGACAAGCCCUUCCAUCCCGUUCCGCUCGCCAUGCAUCCGGCUCCGACUUCGCCUCGCACGAGUUGAAAAGUGCAGGCCGAUCGAACAAGCGCAACAAGACGAAUCUCAACCUCUAGCUCAAG